CCUGGCUGCGAUAGCGCGGGUGGUCCCACCUGACUCCAUCCCGAACUCAGCAGUGAAACCCCGUAGCGCCGAUGGUAGUGCGGGGCCUUCCCAUGUGAGAGUAAAACACUGCCAGGC
rnacentral:rRNA from 1 species